UACAGAGGGUGCGAGCGUUAAUCGGAAUUACUGGGCGUAAAGGGUGCGCAGGCGGCGUCGCAAGUCAGGCGUGAAAUCCCCCGGGCUUAACCUGGGAACUGCACUUGAAACUACGAUGCUGGAGUAUGGCAGAGGGAGGUGGAAUUCCACGUGUAGCGGUGAAAUGCGUAGAGAUGUGGAGGAACACCGAUGGCGAAGGGCAGCCUCCUGGGCCAAUACUGACGCUCAUGCACGAAAGCGUGGGGAGCAAACAGG
rnacentral:rRNA from 1 species